CGCUCGCCCCCCCCCCUCUCUCUCUCUCUCUCGCGCGCGCGCCGGCCACCAGUCGCCUCUCUCACGCGCGCACGACGCCGCUCUCUCCCUGUUGAUGCGCCCUCUCUCUCCCUCUCGGCGGCAUCUUGCUCCGCGCCGCUGCUCACCGCUCCCCACCACCCUGGUUCACACAAAGUUGCAAUUUUUAUUCGUCGGCGACGCGUUGCUGGGCGUGAGGAGUCGCUGAAGCGGAGCCCGAGCAGCGCCGGCGCGGGCGUGAAGACGACGGCGGGAGGAGCUGGAGCCCGAGCGGGAGGAUCUGGAGCUGCAUCUCAAGUAUUGAAGCCACCCCGGCGACACAACGGCGCUUGAUGUGGAGCGGCACCUGAGCAGCGGAGUCUGCGGUCAUAUCCACGGUGACGGCGCCGCCGCCAAAGAGCAAGUAGUAGGCGAGGAGAUGAACCUAGGCGAGCAGCUCCUGCGCAACGGUGAGUAAUUCAGCGGCAGCAGCACCUGUGUGUGAGGAGGAACAACCCCUGGGCGCGCGGGGGUGGCAGCUCGCCUCCACCAGCGGGCGGCAGCAGAGCACCAACUCGCCUACCACCUGGGCGUGCGGGCGUAGGAGAGGAUCCCCUAGGCGUGGGAGAGGAGGAGCGCCUGGGCGGGGGUGGAGG